rnacentral:pre_miRNA from 1 species
AAAAAAACAAACCAUGGUUUCUAUGUCCAACGUUUGACUGUCCGUCUUAUUUAAAAAAAUUAUAAAACAAUUAAAAAGAUAAGUCACGCAUAAAGUAUUAAUUAUGUUUUAUCAUUUAACAACAAUGAAAAUACUAAUUAUAAAAAAAUUUCAUAUAAUACGGACAGUCAAACGUUGGCACGGAAAUCUACGGUUUGUCUUUUU